rnacentral:rRNA from 1 species
GAUGAACGCUAGCGGCAGGCUUAAUACAUGCAAGUCGAGGGGCAGCAUGAGUGUAGCAAUACAUUUGAUGGCGACCGGCAAACGGGUGCGGAACACGUACACAACCUUCCUAUAAGUGGGGAAUAGCCCAGAGAAAUUUGGAUUAAUACCCCGUAACAUAAUGAUGUGGCAUCACAUUAUUAUUAUAGCUACGGCGCUUAUUGAUGGGUGUGCGGCUGAUUAGAUAGUUGGCGGGGUAACGGCCCACCAAGUCUACGGUCAGUAGCUGAUGUGAAAGCAUGAUCAGCCACAGGGGCACUGAGACACGGGCCCGACUCCUACGGGAGGCAGCAGUAAGGAAUAUUGGUCAAUGGACGCAAGUCUGAACCAGCUAUGCCGCGUGAAGGAUUAAGGUCCUCUGGAUUGUAAACUUCUUUUAUCUGGGACGAAAAAAGGCGAUUCUUCGUCACUUGACGGUACCAGAUGAAUAAGCACCGGCUAACUCCGUGCCAGCAGCCGCAGUAAAAC